GCCUUCUUAUCUUGAUUAAAAAAGUUUUUGCUUCAUUAUCUUUCACUUAAUGGCAGGCUUCACAAGAAGAGAGCUCAAGUUAUCAGCUGCCUUACUUUGGUGUCAGAGCCUCAACCAAUGUAGAAUAGCCUCGGGACAGUUUAGUGACAAUAGUCCAGUUUUAUGCAAAACUUUGCAAUGGUUCAAAAACUUGAACUUGGAAGCACUCUAGUUCUAAUAUCUAUAACUUACCUAUCAUGGGAGAUUGAGUACCCUUAAUAAGAUUCAGAAUGAGAGAUUGUACAAAGAUGUUAGAGCAAAAAUGCAUCGUAGUAUUUACGAAAACUUGAUCUUUGGGUUCGCAUUUUUUAAUUCCAUCUGGAGAAUGAUUAGUGCUCAAAUCACACAAGGCAUAGCUCUUGGGAAGCUAAUGUGUUUGCUGGAUAAUUAAUGAGCUUGCUGCAGUAGCCACGGUCUACUUAUUUUGAAUGACGGCAAACACACAAAAUUAGCCAGUUAUAUAGAUAUAUAUAGGAAGAACUGGGAGUACUAUACUUGUUGCAGCAGGACUUUUCCUGACUUAUCAGGACUCUGUUUCUGCUGUAGAAUAACCUUUAUGUUUGAUAGUGGUUUGUGUGGCUAUUAGCUGACUCGUUCUACUGUGAAACUUGUAAGAUUUCUUUGAUGAAUAGAACUUCCUCUAUUCGUCAAGAUUCCAGCAAAAUUACUGCGACUCUGUCCUUUUUUUGACAAGUAAACGCGUUCUGAUGUUAUCAAACCAUGUUUUUUCAAGCUUGCACAAUCCCUAAAUAUUGCAAACUGUUUACGUUGGAGCUUCCAUGAUAGCCAUUCUUUACUCUGCUUAUCUUCUUCCAACUACCUUGCCAGCUUCCAAUUCUUGUUUCCAUUGUUAUAUUUGUGACGUUCUCAAUUUAUAUAUAUAGCAUAGCAAUCAUCAUAAAAUCGACAGUUCCUUAUUAUAGCACAAUAGAUAGACACUAACUAGUCAAUACUCCUGCUCACCACCUCUUUCAAGAAAAUAGGAAAAUUAAAAUCCACAAAAUUGCUAAACAACAUAACAUGGUCGGACAAGUGCAUGCAAACACCCAAUAUGGAUUAUGAAUUUUUUUCCAAACUACUAAGGAAAAGUUACAAUAUUACCAAAUUCCUGUGUUAGAAUUACGUAGACCUGAUAGGGCGAUAUGGAUUCAUAUAGCUGAUACAAUUAGUUUGGGAUUGAGGGCAGUUGAAUGAUUGAUUAAUACUUGAUUAAAACAACGAGUUCUACUGUGUAAUAACUUAAUAGAUAUAUAUAUAUAUAUGUAUGCCCAAAAAUCAUUCUAUCACGCCACUGGAUCUACAAAUAGGAAGAACUGGGAGUACUAUACUUCUUGCAGCAGGACUUUUCCUGACUUAUCAGGAUUCUGUUUCUGCUGCAGAAUAACCUUUAUGUUUGAUAGUGGUUUGUGUGGCUAUUAUCUGAUUCUUUCUAGUGUGAAACUUGUAGGAUUUCUUUGAUGAAUAGAACUUCCUCUAUUCGUCAAGAUUCCAGCAAAAUUACUGCGACUCUGACCUUCUGUUCAUAAGUAAAUACGUUCUGAUGUUAUCAAACCAUGUUUCUUCAAACUUGCACAAUCCCGAAAUAUUGUAAACUGUUUACGUUGGAGCUUCCACGAUAACCAUUCUUUACUCUGCUUAUCAUCUUCCAACUACCUUGCCAGCUUCCAAUUCUUGUUUCCAUUGUUAUAUUUGUGACGUUCUCAACCUUUGACGACUACCCUCAUUGCCAUGUCAACUUUUUUGCACUCUGAAUUGAUACACGAAUUGCGCAUAGGUCUAAGUCACCAUAACUUGUAUGAUUAACCUAGUUAACGAUCCACAUUAAAUGCCACUUUAUAAGAGCUCGUAAAACACCUUCGCCAAUAAAAUGUAGGAGAAAAAGGGAUCAUAGUCAACCCUGUUCACUUAGAGAGACAGUCGUUGCACCAAAGCCAAUGCCAGGAAAGCUGUAGUACAUAUCAUGGAUUGGGUGGUCUCACUGUGUCCAAGGCUUGAUCCAACGCCAUAAUAUCAGGUGUACAGGUCUAA
rnacentral:lncRNA from 1 species